rnacentral:lncRNA from 1 species
UCCCUUCAAAUUUUAACUCAAAAUCGAAUUAGAAUUAGGGUUUACUUGCUGCCCUUCCCCCUUUCUUGUUAUUUAUUCUCAAACCCGAACACAAACAUGCCUGAUGUCUCCACUCUUCAGUCACCAGCCCACCACACGGCGUCGGCGGCCACUCUCUUCAGCCCUUAAGAUCCGCCACUGAUGGAGGUUGGUGAAAGGUUGAUGGGCGAUUGUGUAAACGGGGUAGGUAUCGAAUUGUCGGUGUGUGGGAAGUUAGUAUACAAACGAUUCUCAAGAUACGAUGCAUAACUCGCUUCAACGGGCAUAGAAGAGUGUAUGAAAAAUGGAUGAGGCAUUGGACGAUUGGGUGGUGGGCUAGGAUUAUUUUCUUAGAAUGCAUACGGGUUGUUCGGGUCAUAAGCACGGUUAUAAGGAUGCAUUUUUUCGUUUUGUAAAAGGAGAAUUGAAGAUGAUUAUAGAAGAUGUGGUUGAAUGUGGUA